rnacentral:rRNA from 1 species
CUACGGGACGCUGCAGUGGGGAAUAUUGGACAAUGGGGGAAACCCUGAUCCAGCAAUGCCGCGUGUGUGAAGAAGGCCUGCGGGUUGUAAAGCACUUUCGGUUGGGAGGACUGCUUCUAGCACUAAUAUUGUUGGAAGUUGACGUUACCUUCAGAAGAAGCACCGGCUAACUCCGUGCCAGCAGCCGCGGUAAUACGGAGGGUGUAAGCGUUAAUCGGAAUUACUGGGCGUAAAGCGCGCGUAGGCGGCUAGAUCAGUCGGGUGUGAAAGCCCCGGGCUUAACCUGGGAACUGCAUCCGAUACUGUCUAGCUUGAGUACAGGAGAGGAGAGUGGAAUUCCACAUGUAGCGGUGAAAUGCGUAGAUAUGUGGAGGAACACCAAUGGCGAAGGCAGCUCUCUGGCCUGAUACUGACGCUGAGGUACGAAAGCGUGGGGAGCAAACAGGAUUAGAUACCCUCGUAGUC